rnacentral:rRNA from 1 species
UCCCUAUCCGUCGCAGGCGUAGGAAAUUUGAGAAGACCUGUCCUUAGUACGAGAGGACCGGGAUGGACGUACCUCUGGUGUACCAGUUGUCCUGCCAAGGGCGUCCCAAGGGUUGGGCUGUUCGCCCAUUAAAGUGGUACGCGAGCUGGGUUCAGAACGUCGUGAGACAGUUCGGUCCCUAUCCGUCGCAGGCGUAGGAAAUUUGAGAAGACCUGUCCUUAGUACGAGAGGACCGGGAUGGACGUACCUCUGGUGUACCAGUUGUCCUGCCAAGGGCAUGGCUGGGUAGCUAUGUACGGAAUGGAUAAGCGCUGAAAGCAUCUAAGCGCGAAGCCAACUUCAAGAUAAGAUUUCCCACCGCAAGGGUAAGACCCCAGAAAGACUAUCUGGUUGAUAGGUCGAAGGUGUAAGUGCAGCAAUGUAUUUAGCUUAUCGAUACUAAUAGGUCGAGGACUUGACCAAU